GUGAUCUAAAAAGUGAGUUUGAACCCAGACCAAGUGUUACAAAAUAUGACGGUGAUUAUUAUAAAAAUAAGAAGUCACAACUGAAUGAUGAGUUUGAACCUAGGCCAAGCGUCACAAGGUAUGACGAUGGUAGUUAUAAAAAUGGGAAGUUGUAUGUGAGUGCCGAAUUUGAACCUAGGCCAAGUGCUACAAAGUAUGACGGUGAUGGUUACAAAAUGGCGAAACUACCUGUAAAUAGUGAAUUUGAACCUAGGCCAAGUGUUACAAAAUAUGACGGCGGUGAUUAUAAAAAUAAGAAGUCACGAGUGAAUAGUGAGUUUGAACCUAGGCCAAGCGUCACAAGGUACGAUGAUGGUAGUUAUAAAAGUGGGAAGUUGUAUGUGAGCGUUGAAUUUGAACCUAGGCCAAGCGUUACAAAGUAUGGCGGUGAUGAUUAUAAAAUGGUGAAACUACCAGUAAAUAGUGAGUUUGAACCUAGACCAAGUGCUACAAAGUAUGACGGUCAU
rnacentral:lncRNA from 1 species